ACUUAACUUUGGAUAUCUCAAGAGCUUCCCCACAAGUGGCUCUUCUUCAGCUGCUGCAGGUCACAGUUCUGGUUGCAUGUCAGCAGCUGUGCACUGCUAUGGUCAUGCCCACAGAAUGUCUUGGAAUCGUGUCCCAGUGUUGGCUGUUCAGCUGCACGGCAAUGAGGUCAAGAAGCUGAGCUUUACCUCUGAAUUUUCCUUCUUUUCCAGAGAAAGAUUUCAUCCAAGAUUUCUCCUCAGACAUAGAGAUCAAUUUUACUGAUGGCUCCCUUCUUGGAAUCCUGUUCCAUCAAACAUCUGACCUGCAAACAGCUUUGUUCCUGAAGCAGGACCGUGGGACGGCCAGGGCUGCACACAGCAGUGGCACAGCUGCCCCAGGGAAAGCUCCCUGUCAGCUCUGGAUGCUUGGAAUCUGUGCUCUGCUGGGGUAAACUGGCAAAGAGACACCGGUUUCUGUGAUGUUAUUGCUAUUUCCGGUAUCUGUUUGACUCCUUCAGGGCAGAGGAUGGGAUCUGGGGGAGAAGUGUGGAUGCUCACAGGGGAGGGAGCCACGGGAAGUUGUCCCAGAUGCAGUUUGGGCUGGUGGUUCCAAGCAAAGGCAGGAGUGGUGUCACCACCGACAAACCAUCCUGCACCAUCUGGUGAGUGAUCCUGGGGUCUGCUCAAGAGCCAUUUUAAAAAGCUUGGCUCAGGUGACAUCUGAUUUCAC
rnacentral:lncRNA from 1 species